CGCUUAACACAUGCAAGUCGAACGGAGAUAAUUACUUCGGUAUUUAUCUUAGUGGCGGACGGGUGAGUAACACGUGAGGAACCUGCCUCUGAGUGCGGAAUAGCUUCUGGAAACGGAUGGUAAUACCGCAUAAUAUUACUGAAUCGCAUGGUUUGGUAAAUCAAAGAUUUAUUGCUCAGAGAUGGACAUGCGUUGUAUUAGCUAGUUGGUGAGGUAACGGCUCACCAAGGCGACGAUACAUAGGGGGACUGAGAGGUUAACCCCCCACAUUGGUACUGAGACACGGUCCAGACUCCUACGGGAGGCAGCAGUGGGGAAUAUUGGUCAAUGGACGCAAGUCUGAACCAGCCAUGCCGCGUGCAGGAUGACGGCUCUAUGAGUUGUAAACUGCUUUUGUAUUAGGGUAAACCUUAGUACGUGUACUAAGCUGAAAGUAUAAUACGAAUAAGGAUCGGCUAACUCCGUG
rnacentral:rRNA from 1 species